UGCUUGUAGUUCCUGCUGAUCUCCACCAGAGGGCGCCAUUACACCAGACACCAGCAGCUGACAGCUGGAACUCACACACUGAACUUUUAAAGAUGAACACUCGGAGCUCCUCGGUGGAUCAUCCUCAGAGACGGUACUGUGGUGAGGGACGCUGUCCUGACUCCAGGAGACGCAGGUUCGAUCCCCGCCUCAGGUACGCCACACAGAGCUCUGGGACGCCGACUACCAGCAGCAGUUGUUUAGCCGCCAACACGUGACUGUGAGCUGGCUCCACGUACCACCAGAUGACGGGGCU